rnacentral:rRNA from 1 species
ACUCCUACGGGAGGCAGCAGUGGGGAAUUUUGGACAAUGGGGGCAACCCUGAUCCAGCCAUGCCGCGUGAGUGAAGAAGGCCUUCGGGUUGUAAAGCUCUUUCGGCCGGGAAGAAAUCGCCAUCUCUAAUAUAGGUGGUGGAUGACGGUACCGGAAUAAGAAGCACCGGCUAACUACGUGCCAGCAGCCGCGGUAAUACGUAGGGUGCGAGCGUUAAUCGGAAUUACUGGGCGUAAAGCGUGCGCAGGCGGUUUUUAAGAUAGGCGUGAAAUCCCCGGGCUUGAACCUGGGAACUGCGCUUAUGACUGGAAGACUAGAGUACGGCAGAGGGGGGUGGAAUUCCACGUGUAGCAGUGAAAUGCGUAGAGAUGUGGAGGAACACCGAUGGCGAAGGCAGCCCCUGGCCCG